UCGACUUAGGAGGGAUUACCCGCUGAACUUAAGCAUAUCAGUAAGCGGAGGAAAAGAAACCAAUCAGGGAUUUCCUUAGUAAGUGCGACCGAACAGGAAUAAGCCCAGCGCAGAACCUCCCGGGCCACCCGGCCUGCGGCGGAAUGUUGCGUAAAGGGAAAGAUCGUAUUCAAACCCUACAACCUCACGAACUCUAAGUAAGCCACGAAUCGGCUAUCCCGUCUAACGUCGGGAGAGACUCCAUGGAGGGUGUAAGACCCGUGUGGGCGUGUGUCAAUGUUGUAUGGGCUCGAUCUCUUCCCUGAGAGUCGCGUUGCUUGAGAAUGCAGCGCUAAGCAGGUCGUAAACUCGAUCUAAGGCUAAAUAUUUCCACAGGACCGAUAGCAAACAAGUACCGUGAGGGAAAGUUGAAAAGUACUCUGAAGAGAGAGUCAAAAGACCGUGAAACCGUUCAGAGUAUAAGCCCAUGGCGCUCGGAAGGCUCCCGCAGUGGCGUGCAUCCUACGGGGUGUACGACAAUUCAAAGAAUUCUGUUCGUGUGACUGUGAGCUUAUUGCAAGUGUAUCGGUCGGUUUUCGAUUGGUUGUGGUACGGGAAGCUGUGGAUGAAUGUUUGUGUCCUUCCCGUGCUCGGCCUCUAAUGAGAAUGGACGUCCAAGGUCGAUGAGUUAAUGCGGUAUUGGCCCACCACAGUUCGUUGUGAGGUCACCCACAGGCUCAAACUGUCAAUCGUGUGUUCAAGGCUAUUCGGCAUUCAUUGCAUGCUGUCGUAUGGGUUUCGCCGACACCCAAUAGCGGUGAUUCCUGGCAUGUAGUCGUACCUUGGGCCAGGUGACGAAAAGAGUAUAUCCUGGUAUGAUCCUCGUGCGACGAUCUGAUUCUGACCGGGUUCGUAUGUUACCACAGGCUUUACCCAUGUGCCGGGUAUUGCCUGGUAGCCCCACAGCUGUUUGGUCCUCUGGACGAUGUCAAAGUCGACAAGGCUUCAGUUGA
rnacentral:rRNA from 1 species